CACGUAGGGGGCGAGCGUUGUCCGGAUUUAUUGGGCGUAAAGAGCUCGUAGGCGGCUCAGUAAGUCAGGUGUGAAAACUCCAGGCUCAACCUGGAGACGCCACUUGAUACUGCUGUGGCUAGAGUCCGGUAGGGGAGCAUGGAAUUCCUGGUGUAGCGGUGAAGUGCGCAGAUAUCAGGAGGAACACCGGUGGCGAAGGCGGUUCUCUGGGCCUUACCUGACACUGAGGAGCGAAAGCGUGGGGAGCGAACAGG
rnacentral:rRNA from 1 species